ACUCAGAUAAAAAAGUCAUCCCACCAGUUUUGGUAUCAGGGUAAUACUGGCCUCAGACUGAGUUGAACAUGUACUCUGGGGGAAGCUAGCUGCCAUGGAAGGAGUGACACUAUUCUGUGACCACCAUGAUUUUCAGCCAAGGCACCAGACACCAGACUGCUGAAGACAUCCUGGGUAUCCUGCCUAGUUGAGUUUUCAAAUCACCGCAGUCCCAGCUGCCAUUUGACUCCAACUGUAUGAGAGGCCCCAGGUGAGAUCUGCCCAGCUGAGCCCUGUCAGCUCAUAUUCAGUGAACUCUGAAUGUGAGAGGUAAUAUGAAAUUGUUGUCAUUAGUUACCACA
rnacentral:lncRNA from 10 species